AUGUGCGUCUGUCCGGGCCGCGGUGGCGGGGUGUCAGGCGCUUGUCUGGCUGGGUGCAGAGCGUCCGGCAGACGCCUCUGGAGAGGUGAGGACACGGCAGUGACUGAUGGAAGGAUCCGGGACUGCGUCAGCGCUUGGCUGGAAGUUUGCAUGCUUCUCCCUAUGUGUUCACAAACUGGAGCAGAUCUGUGGUCGCCUCCUAUUUCCCCCAAAUGGAAAGCAUACCUCAAGUGGGGAAAACUGCCCCCCUAAUGAGAAGCCAGAUCAGAAGACAUUCCGUCGCAGACUUUGCCUGGUGUGGCCAGGAUCCCUCUCCAGUUUCACUUUGACGUUUGCUCACUUUAUUGCUGUUCACCAUCCUGCCCUCGCGGAGCUCAGUGACCUGGGAGAGACCGAGAGAGUGGUGCUUGUUUUCACUUGUGGCCUCUGUUUCGACUUGGACCGUCCUCCCUCUCUGCAUUGAGCAACACUGCUGCAUCACAGUCUCAUGGGCUUCCUUCUGCCCACUCGCUCCACGUUUCAGCUGCCGUGUGAGAUCGCAAAGCUUUGGCUCCCGCCUGGAGAAACUUCCGUUCUUCUAUUCGUCCUGCCAGAUCCGUGUUCUCAUGUCGGAUGCAGUGUGAGUUUUCCCUCCUGAUGAAAUGACGAAAAUGCCAGCUACCCUCCACCCCGAUCAAAUGAAAACCAGCCUUUGUAAUAGAGGACACAUUUCUAGAGAAUAUGGCUUGGUUUUGUAAGUGUUCCAAGGGUACCUACCCCAUGAUGACUUUAGAAAUCCUCUGUGAAGACAAAAGAAUCAUUUGGAAGUAUCCUUUUGCUAUUAAAACAAUCGCGUCAACUUCCUGAAAUCUUCGGGAUGGACACCAAGGCUUCAGGGUCGACAACUGCAUUAUGUUUUCUCCAGGGAAUUUUGCGUAGAGUUUUGUUCCCUGUGUUUUCUCUUGCCGUGUCUGGGCCACUCCGACAGUGAGUUAAAGGACUUUAAUGUUUUCUAACACCACCUGUAAAAGGAAACAAACUCACAAGCAUGGAGUGGGCCCUGCGGCUUGGCCUCAGUACCCGUGAGAAAGACUUGAGGGUGGUCACAGCAUCAGCGAUGAAUCAGAAUGGGACUUUGAUUUGAAAAAUAAGAGAGAGUAUCAAAAACGGGGCAGACGGUUUUUCUCUCCCUCAGAUUUGAUUAGGCAGCCCCGGUGGCUGGUGGUUAAGAUCUGGUCCUCUCACCACAGCCGUCUGGGCUGGUUUCCCCUCAGGGAACCACACCACUCGUCUGUCCGUUGUCAUACCCUGGUUGGUGGCUGUGUGAUGCUGAAAGCUGUGCCACCGGUAUUUCAAGUACCAGCAAAAAGACGGGGCAGGAUUCCCUCUGCUGUCCACAGAGGCGUGAGGGGUCGGAAGCCACUCGGCGGCACUAAACGGUCUUGACUGAACUUCAUUUGGAGUGUUGUGUUUGCUUCUGCAGAGCGCCGAGUUCAGGAGAAGAUGUAGACAUCGUGGGAGGUCCACCCAGAGCGGCCAGGCGGAGGGGGAGGUGUGCGUGGGGAACAGGUCCGCGGAGGGGCUGUUUGUCCUCGGAAGAGAGAGCUCACCAGUUUCGCUGUUUUCAAAUACCUGAAGGGCUCUUGUGUGGAAGGUGCUCACAACUUGUCCUGCGGGUACUAACAGGGAGAGGCUACGGACACCGGGUGUGUUUAAAAGGGUUUGAAGAGGAAGAAAACAAAGUCAUGACAUAAAAAUCUCCAUCUCCAAGGAAUUUUUCUGAUAUUCUAAGAUUUACAACACUUUUCUACAUGUUAAUUUCUUAGUGAAAUGCCUCCCAGUGAUUCAGAAUUUAGUAACAGGCUUUUAAUUUCUUGACAACAAGUUACAUCAUCUUAGGUUAUUUAAUUGUCUUGGACUCGGUUUCCUCAUCUUACCACAGAGUAAGCCCCAUGUAAAUGUGAGACGUUAUCAUCAUUGUUGCCUAGCAAAAAUAUAAAAAAUCGUUAAAUCCUUAACAUAAUUACUGAGUUUUAGAAAAGAAGAAUGACUUUAGCUCUGCGGUAAGUUGUUCUGAAAGGCAGGUGAAUGGCAGGGUUAAUUUUCCAGCAUCACAGCCUUAUCUGCAGAUGGAUUAGCUUGAUGGAUAUUUCAGGGGAAUAUCAGUGUCAUCACUCAGGGCUGUUGGAGGAGCAGAGGCCCAGUUAUUCCCCGUGAUGGGCACAGCUGAAUUUAGGUUGGGCAUCUUCUCUUGGAAGGUUAUUCUUUUCUUAGCCAAUGUGAGGUAAUCAUAAAAAAAAACUUUAUUUUUCGGAAUGUUUUUUAACUUUUCAUUGGUUUCUUUUAUAACUGAUUUUAAAUGUGUUGCAAAUAAUGAGUAAAUACUAAGAUUCCCUAAGUUAGGAACAUCUCUGAAAACAUUAUGUGUAGACAACAUCCAAAUAGGUGUUAAGAAAACAUUAAAAAGAUCAAAGGAAAAAUUAAACCCUGCAAUUUUAGGAGCAUUGAUAAUUGAGAAAAAGAAACCUUGGCAAUGUGCACAUAGACAAGUACCUUUUUUUCUUAUUAAAAGUGAUUGUCCAGACUAGACAUGCUGAAUGACCCUCCCAACUGAAACACCUAAAAUGCUGGAUAAAAUGGAAAAAAAGUCUUGUCAGAAAAGUGGAAAUUUCAGAAACAGAUAAAGGAAAAUAGAAAUCCUAUGCAGAUAAAAUUGCUAUUAAUAUACUCAUGUACUUUAUUAUUUACCUCUAUGCAGAAAUGCUCUGGAAAUCUAGUUGUUUUCUUGCAGUGUGGGUUUAAGAGGCCUGGCUCAAAGUUUUUUAAAUACCUUGAACUUUCCAUUCUUCCCAGAUUCUUAGUUUGGUAAAAAUAUAUAAUAUACACAUACAUGUACCUACCCGAGCUCUUGAACCAUAUCCCAAAUGCUUAUUGGACAUUUUCGUUUCAAUGUCUGAUCUCAGACCCCCACCGGCUAUCUCUGACUGCCACCUCCUUCCGCCUUCUCUGCCUCUGUCUGAGGCUCUCUUCUGUUUCUUCUUCCGUGAUAAAGCGCUGCACCCCCCUGCUACCUUGAGCCAGUUAUGUCCAGGCUCUCACUGGCUGGCAGGGCUUCUGUCGGUGACAGACUCCUGGCCUUCUCCAGUCCCGCCUUCUGCCCUGCAGUGUACCCUGCUGGUGACUGGCCGGUGGGUUUCUUUUAAGCUGUGCUUUAAUUCCUUCGCUUCCUGGUUUUGCCAUUUCAAAGGUCUGCAUGCUUUGGCCCAAGCCUUUCCACCUAACAAUAUUUAAUCCCAUUUGUUCUCUUUCUCCUGGCAAGUCUGUCCUGUGUUCUCCACUGCUUGCUUUAACUUGGUGGAUUUAGUGAUUCCCGAAGUUGACGCUUUCCACUGGUAACACUUGGGAUGACUUUAGGUGGUAUAUGAAUAAACUGCAAAAAUGUUUAGCUAUAUAUUUAAGU
rnacentral:lncRNA from 1 species